rnacentral:rRNA from 1 species
AUUGAACGCUGGCGGAAUGCUUUACACAUGCAAGUCGAACGGCAGCACGGAGAGCUUGCUCUCUGGUGGCGAGUGGCGAACGGGUGAGUAAUAUAUCGGAACGUGUCCAAUAAUGGGGGAUAACGAGUCGAAAGAUUCGCUAAUACCGCAUACGCCCUACGGGGGAAAGCAGGGGAUCGUAAGACCUUGCGUUAAUGGAGCGGCCGAUAUCUGAUUAGCUAGUUGGUGAGGUAAAGGCUCACCAAGGCGACGAUCAGUAGCUGGUUUGAGAGAACGACCAGCCACACUGGAACUGAGACACGGUCCAGACUCCUACGGGAGGCAGCAGUGGGGAAUUUUGGACAAUGGGGGCAACCCUGAUCCAGCCAUUCCGCGUGAGUGAAGAAGGCCUUCGGGUUGUAAAGCUCUUUCGCAAGGGAAGAAAACUUAUGAUCGAAUAAAUCAUGAGGUUGACGGUACCUUGAUAAGAAGCACCGGCUAACUACGUGCCAGCCGCCGCAGUAA